rnacentral:pre_miRNA from 1 species
UUUAUAUGACGCCGUAGAUUUCUAACUUUACGUUUGACCAUUCGUUUUAUUCAAAAUAAUUAUAUAAUCAUUACUUAUUUUGUUAUAAUAUGAUUUAUUAUUAUAUGAACUUUAGGUAUGCCUUAUAAUUUUGUAUAUUUGGAUAUAAAUUUUAAAUAAAACGAAUGGUCAAACAUGGACCUAAAAUUCAACGGCGUCAUAUAUA